UGCCAUAAGGAAAGAAAGGAAAGAAAAAGAACGAAGAAGAAGAAGGAGGGGGAAGCUUGUGUUGGCCAACAAUGGUGGAGGAGUCUCGACUGAGAGUGACGGCGAUGGCGGGAGAUGCAACGGUCAUCGGCGAGCACACUAGUGGCGACGACGACAGCAGGCGCGGAAAAAAGAAAGGCUGCCGUAGCUUUCUUGCCACCGUUCAUGGAGUUUCAGGCAACCAUUGCCGAUGGUUUUAGGCUCAAAAUGUUCAGCAAUUUCUGGACUUCCUUUUCCACCCAUCGUCACCCCUUGAGGCUGCCGAAAUUGCAAAAUCCGACGAGGUAAAAAGUAUAAGGGCAGUUUGGAAUUUUUACUUUUUUGGCCAGUGCCAUUGAGCUUCUGACGAUCAGAGGACACAUUUAGACUCUCCUCGUCAUAAGCUUUCUAAUGGCACUAAUUUUGCAGCGAUCAGACUUCGUUUGAAAAUAGACGGUUGAAACUGUCUAUGAUUUUCUUCGGAAAAUCUAGGACUGGAUCGAAGAAUCAGAUGCUAGAAUCAUCGUCUGUGUGCUAUUUCGAGUCCGUAGGCGCGCUUGGAUCGCCGAUCAGACUCCGGCAGUUGAAGGCGAGUCGGCCGAUUUAUCAAGCGUCUCGAUAAUCCAUCAUUUCAACUCGCUCCACCCGAGGCAUAGAAGCAGAGCAAGGGGGUCGUCAGAACUUAGAACAUGCCAUCUGAUGGAUUGCAUCAGGACCACGUGUGCACCAGUAUAGAUCUGAGACAGGUAGUAAAAGAAUAUUUUAAAAAUUGCCCUGGUCGAGUUCAACUCUCUAAGCUGUGUAGAGUUUGAGUGCCGGAUUAGAGGUCUUUGGUCGAGCGUUGCUCUCUAGGCGUCGGCUUUAUUGGAAAUUAAGUGACUAGACUGGAGUUAAGGACCCUGGUCUAGCUUCGCUCUCUGGGUGUCAAUUCUGUUGGAAUGAGAGAGCACAAAAGGCUGUUAGUGUUGGGGUUAGGGUUCUACUGAAGUACUGGUCUCGUAGCAUGAAAAAUAUAUUUUGUUCAAUCAUGGCAUGACAUGCUUUUUUUUUACAUGACCUAAUAUUUUAUUUGAUUAAAUAAAUAUUUUGUUGAGGUGAUUGUAUUUAUUGUGGAUAUAUGAUUUUAACUCGUUUUCGAGACUGAAAGUCUCAAAUUUAACUAUUUUUCAGGUAUUUGUUAGUUUCUGCAAUUCUUCUCCUCUAGCAGCCUGACUUCCUUCAUCUUCGGGUCUAAUGUAAUUGAUUUUUUUAAAUUCUAAAUUCUCCGCAGUAAUAAUUUCAAAAUUUAUCAUUUGUCAAGGCAUAUUAAUUCAGGUAUUGUCUAUUUAUGCUGCAGACUGAAUAAAAUAUGUAGUAUCUAAGUAAUUAAAAGUUGGUGAUGAAUUAGUGUUAUAAUGGAUAGAAUUUGAAUUAUACUUGAUAGAGAUAACGAAUGGUCAGGCUUGCUACGGGUUUCGAUGACCUUACGCCUACCCAUUCCCUAGCGUAGAUUACAAGCCCAUAGACCGGGUGGUGACAGACCAAAUGACACAUUGAUAUUCUGUAUUUCAUAAAUUACUUUGUUGGAAGCUUACGUGGGUAGCUGCUGGCAUGAGGAAGUCGAGUUUAAAUUCUACAAGAUACAUUAUUAUGGAAAAUUACAACUAAUUUAAAAAUAAAUCGAAAUUUAAGAGGUUUUGUUAUAUCAAAGGCUUAUGUGAAAUAUUGCUAAUCUAAUUUUGAAAUAACAAGACGUUUUUGUUUUUGCUAAUCUAAGUUGUUAUCCCAGGAAUGUGAUUAAUGAUAAUGUGCUAUAAACAUUGCAACUAGUAAGAUAAAGUAAUAAAAAUAAAUAUAUUGGGAUAAGUUAAGAAAAUCACAAUGUGGUUUUAUUUAUUGUCUUAUUUUAUUUUAGUAAGUAUUUUUUUUUUCGAGAUAAAACGAUAUAUAUAGUUAGAAGUCUUGGUUAAAAAAACUAUCUCAUUGUUAAAUAGUUUCAGUUAGUAGGGAUUUAGUUAUUUUCACUCUAAUCUAUUAAUAUUAUUAUGUUAUUUGUGUCUAAUAGUAUAGAUUUAGAACUUAACAUUGUCAAAUAGUUCCCGUUUGAAAAAAUUUAGUUAUUUCUAUUCCAAUUAGCCAUCAUUAUUAUGUAACUUGUGUAUGAUAAUAUAGCUUUAGAGCUUUAACUAACUCUAAAUUUUAUUAUUUGAUUGUUAAAUCGCAAUUUAAGAAAUUACUAAUUUGAUGAGAUAGAUUUAACUGUCAAAUAACAACGCAGUGACUUGUUAAGCUCUAAAUACACAUUAUCAGACACGGGCAAUAUAAUAAUAAUGGUUGAUUAGAAUAAAAAUAAUUAAAUAUUUGUCAAUCAAAAUAUUAAUAAAGAGAUAAUUAUUUUAUCACCAUCUAUAUUCACACGCUUCUCUUGAUUCUUAAAA